rnacentral:tRNA from 1 species
GGGGUUGUAGCUCAGUGGUAGAGUGCUUGCCUCUCAAGUGUGAGGCACUGGGUUUGAUCCUCAGCACCA